CUGCGCUAUUACCACUGGACCAACGCCCUAGGGGGAAAUACACAGGUGUUACUAAUUCACAGGAAUUGCUAUCACCAAUUGUUUUUGAGACGAAGUUUGUGGAUACAAACUUAAACGGACGUGCUAUGGUAGUUUAACAAAAAAAGAGAAAAACUACUUACUGAGGAAGAGUCCAAUGCGGAAAAUAAUAUGACUAUAUUCAAUUUUUGGUAACAAUAGUUUGAAUCACUUCAGAGUCCAAACCCUAUUUCAAAUUGAGUAAAUGAUUAUUAUGUAGGAUCAACCCUUUUUUUGGGUAACCAAGGACUCAAAGAAUAUGCACUUAUAUCCACAGAAACAAAGCUUUGUGAAGGGAACAUUAAAAUAGAGUAAAAAGAAAAGACUACACUACUACAGGAAACCCGAAGAGAUAAGUGAAUCAACAACAAAUUUUUAUGAUAAUAUUCAUCUAUUCAUUUGACUUGUGCAUUAUAUCAAUAAGGUAGAAGAAAAUAUCAAAUUCAAGGUAAAAUAUUAGUUUGAAAUAGAGUAUGACAAGGAAAUUAAAAGUUGAGUAAAAGAGAGUAUGACAAGGAAAUUAAAAGUUGAGUACUUCGAUGAAUUUAAAUUUUGUAAUACAGUAAGUUGCUUGGACUUGGGUGCGGGCAUCUGCUACCGGCGUGGAUCUAGAGGUCAGAUUCUUCAUGAUCUAAAUUUUAAUAUUCGAGGGUAUAGAUUCAGGUACAGAUAUGGGUGCGGGGAUUCGGCUAAAAUAAUUCAAAUAUCUAAAAAUAGAGCUAUAACAAUACGCAACAUUAUGUGAAAAACUUACAUGGUGCUUGUAUAAUGCAGGAAAAAGGACUACAAGUUCAGUAACAGUAAAAAGUGAAGAGCAUCAAGAUUCGAACUAAUCAAUAAGGAAACAGAAAAACAUUUUCUAACUGUAACUUGUAGGCCUUCUACAUUUUCAGAGAAGAAUCCAAGAUUGACGAUAACACGACUGAAAUAGAAAUUUCUAAAUACAACAUAAUCCAUUUUCUUCAAUUGCAUCCUAGCUUUUGCUAUGAUUUCAAAAAUCAUUGUAUUUGUAUAGAGUUUCUUCGUCGAUUUAGGUCAAAUUACGCAAAAUCUAUUGAUCAUAUCCGGUACAGAUCCUACACCUACGACGUGUCGAUACGGGUGUGGCACCGGAAAUGGAGAGUCUGAGCAACAGAUACAGUGUCAUAUAAGUUUAAUAGAAAUGAAAUGGUGCCAAAAGAUUUGAUGCAUCCUAAAAUAGGAAGUGUUUCAUAUAUAUUAGGACAAUGGGUAAGAAACUGCUCAUGCAGGUAACUCUAUUCACCACGGCUUAUCCUUGGAUAAAUGGGAAGAGAUCACCUAAUGAAUUGUGCUUUCCUAGCAAACAUCUAUAACCUGUUCAUUAGGUGGUAGCGAGUAUGACAAGAGGGGUUUGCUCUGAUGGUAAGCAACCCCCACUUCCAAUCGAUAGGUUGUGAGUUCGAGUCUCCCCAAGAGCAAGAUGAGAAGUUCUUAGAGGGAAGGAUGCCGGAGGUCUAUUUGGAAACAGCCUCUCUACCCAGGGUAGGGGUAAGGUUUGCGUACACACUGCCCUCCCCAGACCCCACUAAGUGAGAUUAUACUGGGUUGUUGUUGAGGUGGUAGGGAGUAUGGGGGAGGGGAGAUCAAUGAAACUGGUACAUAUUGUGUUCCUCAAAAACAAAUGUUCAUAUUAUUUGUAGUUGAAGCAUCUUGACAACAUGGUUGGAGUGGUAAGCAGAGCUCGAACAACUAAUUCCCCUUUCAAACUCCAAUCUUAAUAGUGAAGCCAAGUCAAAACAACCCAUUCAGCUUUAGGAUGAAAGAGUACAGAAAUACAGAUCUUUGGAAGUCUUUGCAUUGGAAAAUGUGCCCCAACCACAAUUGUUUCUGAAAAGGUCCACACCGCACCUUUGCUCUAUAUGCUAGCUAUCCGUCCCUCCUCCUUAAACUUCAUGAGGAAACCUAAGCUCUACCAGUAAGCCCAUACUUCAGAAAAAAGUCACCCCUGAGUAUUGAUAGAUAAAAGAGAUUGGACACUAAGAUACUGCAUUUUAUUCCUAAUUUCAUAUUUGACCAAUAUUUUAUCAAUUUAGGAGUUUGUGGUCGUUAUACAGCACAAACAGCAGCACAGUCAACAACAACAACAACAACCCAGUAUAAUCCCACUUAGUGGGGUCUGGGGAGGGUACCGCACACCUUACCCCUACCCUAGGGUAGAGAGGCUGUUUCCAAAUAGACCCCCGGCAUCCUUCCCUCCNNNNNNNNNNNNNNNNNNNNNNNNNNNNNNNNNNNNNNNNNNNNNNNNNNNNNNNNNNNNNNNNNNNNNNNNNNNNNNNNNNNNNNNNNNNNNNNNNNNNNNNNNNNNNNNNNNNNNNNNNNNNNNNNGCAACCUCUCGGUUGGAAGUGGGGUUGCUUACCAUCAGAGCAACCCCUCUUGUCCAAACAGCUGCACAGUCGUUAUAUCCAAAUACUCACAGUUAAAUAAGAAAAACAAUCCUCCUGAAAAUUAAAUGCUAUCAAUAAUCUAAGGACACCUUAUCCAAAAAAAGAUCAAUAAUCUGAGGACAACGCCAGGUAUCAUUUCCUUUCCAUAACAUGUAAAAAUUAAAUACCACUAUAUUCAGAGGCCGAUCCAUAAUCCAAAUUUUAUGGGUUCAAUAUUUAAGGUUUUUA
rnacentral:lncRNA from 1 species